UACGUAGGGGGCUAGCGUUGUCCGGAAUCAUUGGGCGUAAAGAGCGUGUAGGCGGCCCGGUAAGUCUGAUGUGAAAGCCCACGGCUCAACCGUGGAAGGUCAUUGGAAACUGAAAGGCUUGAGUACAGAAGAGGAAAGCGGAAUUCCACGUGUAGCGGUGAAAUGCGUAGAGAUGUGGAGGAACACCGAUGGCGAAGGCAGCCCCCUGGGCUAACACUGACGCUCAGGCACGAAAGCGUGGGGAGCAAACAGG
rnacentral:rRNA from 1 species